AGUACCUGUGUUCUGUGCUCUGUUCCAGGUGUGAAUGAGUGACGGCAUCCAGCGGCCAACGGGGAUUUGCUGCCUCAAAGGCAUGCAUGUGUGUGAUUCAGGGCUACACAUGCACAACUCCAGGAUUUACUUCCUUCCUGUCCCACAGAGUUACUGAAGGGAGUGAGUUAUGGGGUAAUUUAUAACACGGCAGGCCCUUCCUCAAGACAGCCCUCAUCAAAACAGGAAGAUAAAACUCAGGUUUCAACAAGGAGAUCACAGUCUUGGGAUAUCUUCUGGAUGUACCUCUUAAUGACAAGCAGAAAAGUCUUCAUAUUUGCCCAUUUCCAACCACGGUGCCCCCAAAAAGAUGUCUGCUCAAAGGUGGAGUUAUCCAGGGGAGCCCCUCCCACUCUUCACUGAGCUCUCGCUGUGACUUCUUCAGCCUCAGACUUGCUGGCAGUAUUGCCCGCUGAAGAGACUGGGAACCAGAAAGCGAGUGAGAAGAGGCUGAAAGCAAGAGGAGGUGACGUCUUCAAUGAGAAAAGCCGAAGUUGACAUCUGACACGGAGAGUGGUCCUGACGCUGAGACGCUGUUAAGGAGAACGGCAGUGGCUGCGACAUAGUUGGAGAAAAGGAGUCUGGACACGGAAGUCAAACCCAGAUUAUCCUGUUUCAGUGCCUGAGGGCAUGCACACUUUCUCAAGCUCGGAUAUCAUUGGCACAGGAAGCGGAGCAUAUGCUUAAAUAUGGAUUUCCUUUGCUAUUUGGAGCCCCUUUCCCUGGUUUGCUGUUUUGGUGGGCUGCCAUUACCCUCCAUUUGGUUGCCUUGGAUGUAGUUAUCUCUUGCCGUGGUUCUUACAGCUCCAAGCCUGGUGGCACCUGGUCAGGAUGAGAACAAGGAGAAGACCCCUCCUGAGGAUUUUCAAGUCCUGACUGUCUGGGGCCUCCAUAAUUCUCCCUCCUUCUGGAACUCCAGACCCCCAGGAUUAGCUCAGGCUUUUUGGUGGAGAAACAGGACAUACAAUGAAUGCUAGAACUUCAUCGAGGAGGCUGUCUUAGUUACACUUCUAUUGCUGUGAUGAAGUGCCACGACCGUGGCAGCUUACUAAAGAAGGGUCUUAAUUUGGCUUAUGGUUUCAGAGGGUUAGAGUUCAUAUUGGUGCAGUGAAGAUAGAGCUGAGUGCUUAGAUCUUGAUCUACAACUGAAAGAGAGAGAAACAGAGAGGGGAUACACACUGAGAUUAGUAGGAGUCUUUUGAAACCUCAGAGCCCACUUCCAGCGGCAUAUCUUCUUCAGCAUGGCAGAAUCCUCCCGAUCUUUUGCAAACAGUUCCACCAAUUGGAGACCAAGUAUUCAAACAUAUGAGCCUCUAGAGGCCACUCUCCCAGAAAUCAUCAAGAGAGAUAAAGAAGGGCCCCAGUGAAUCGGAAGUGGGAGACAGCGUCAUCAGUUGCAGCUCUCCAGGUCAGAAGUACCUCUGGGAUCUCCAUGUUGAACUCCCAACAAGGCUCCACCUUUCACAGCUGCUUCCUUUGGGCUUUGAGAGCCUGCAGUGAGUCCAGGAGGGAACCAUGCAGAUGCUCAUUCACAGUGACUGAGAGCUUUCUCCCAGUGCGCCAGUGACUAUAGUGAAC